rnacentral:misc_RNA from 1 species
AAGGAGUCUAACACAUAUGCGAGUAUUUGGGUGUCAAACCCGAAAUGCGUAAUGAAAGUGUUAAGGUGGGAUCAUUUGUGCACCAUCGACCGGUCUUGAAGUUUACGGAAAGAUCUGAGUAAGAGCAUAUUUGUUAGGACCCGAAAGAUGGUGAACUAUGCCUGAAUAGGGCGAAGCCAGAGGAAACUCUGGUGGAGGCUCGUAGCGAUUCUGACGUGCAAAUCGAUCGUCAAAUUUGGGUAUAGGGGCGAAAGACUAAUCGAACCAUCUAGUAGCUGGUUCCCUC